CUGAGCGUCAGUGCUCAGGGCAAUAUGAGUAUUAUGGUCGACAUGCACUUGGGUGGAGGCUCAGAAAUUGUUGUGAGGUAGAGCUUGGCUUCCGGCGCCUGGUA
rnacentral:lncRNA from 1 species